rnacentral:lncRNA from 1 species
CACUCACAAUUGGGUCAAAAAUGAAUAACCCAUUAUUAGUUCUAGUGUUUUUGAAAAUUAAAAUACUUCAUGACGAGGAUCCGUUGGUCUAAUAGCAAAUCUAUCCACCACCGUCCAGCAUACUAAUUAUUGUCUGAAAAUUAUAAAUAAGGGGAUGAGUAUAGUAUAACGAAUUAUACUCAAUGAGAUACUUGCUACUCCACAUUCAAGUAAAAGAAAUUACAAAUAAAUUAUCUUACCAACAUAACAUGGGAAUUAUCACACCAUGACAAAUGAUAAUUCUAGCAAGUGCUGCAAAAUAACGUGAAGGCUAAAUUGUGCCUUGAAAAUAACGUGAAGGCUAAAUUGUGCCUUAAAAUGUAUCAUGAUUUCUCCCGAAGGAGCCUGAAUUGAAGUAAUU